GAGAAAUUGUCUUCAUCUGGGGCCCCAUCAUGGGCUUCUCUGAAGAAAAAAUGCCACGACCUACGGAUCUUUCAGUGUCUUACGUUAUUGUCUCUCUUAGUAGGGAGAGACCAUGAUGGGGGAUAAGCAGGUUGUUCAAUAGAACAGAAUUACCUGGUCGUCACUAUGAAGCAGAUGCCCCGGAGCUUGCUGCAGGCUUCUGUUGACUCGUCUCCUGGCCUGCAGCCGUCCCUGCCUGAGCCUGCCUCCCUGGACUGACCCCUGAAGAAGCUGGGUCUUUUGGGGAAGAGCCAAUAGUAAGCAGAGAGAGGUCUCCGAUAUGUCAGCUUGUGCAACUGGAUAACAAAGGGGGGUGCUUACUGCUCACUUUACCUCUGGAAGACGGUGAAUACUGCCUUUCAAGCCUUGGAUUCAUUUCCUCUCCUGGAUCUAACGCUGGGCGAGACAACCACAGCUCCAGACAGCGUCAGGUGGAGCCAGCAGCAAGGCGGCAAAACCAGUUCAAUGCUCAUGAUGGAUACUAUUGAAACUCUGAACUUGGGGGACCUUCAUAGCUCCAUCGUCUUAAUGCCGGUCAGCUGGCACAUGGCUUUUGCCCUUUGCUCUUCAUCUUAUGGCCUUGAGGAUAAAACUUUAUGUGCUGUAGAUGGCGAAGCAAGAAGAGUGGACGAGCCUGGUUCCUUGAGCAGCAGCGCCAGCCCCAGCCUCUCUAUCCACGGACUGCUUCUUAAGAAAACCAGCCAGCUGCAGACAAAGGAUCAGAUGGAGGAAACUGCCAAACUGUUCCAGAGUCGCUGCACUGAUUUACAUUUCAUCUAGCAUUGUACAUUGGUUCCAGACAGCUGCAACCUCACCAG
rnacentral:lncRNA from 1 species